AACCGACUAAUGUUGAAAAAUUAGCGGAUGACUUGUGGCUGGGGGUGAAAGGCCAAUCAAACCGGGAGAUAGCUGGUUCUCCCCGAAAGCUAUUUAGGUAGCGCCUCGUGAAUUCAUCUCCGGGGGUAGAGCACUGUUUCGGCAAGGGGGUCAUCCCGACUUACCAACCCGAUGCAAACUGCGAAUACCGGAGAAUGUUAUCACGGGAGACACACGGCGGGUGCUAACGUCCGUCGUGAAGAGGGAAACAACCCAGACCGCCAGCUAAGGUCCCAAAGUCAUGGUUAAGUGGGAAACGAUGUGGGAAGGCCCAGACAGCCAGGAUGUUGGCUUAGAAGCAGCCAUCAUUUAAAGAAAGCGUAAUAGCUCACUGGUCGAGUCGGCCUGCGCGGAAGAUGUAACGGGGCUAAACCAUGCACCGAAGCUGCGGCAGCGACGCUGAUGCGUUGUUGGGUAGGGGAGCGUUCUGUAAGCC
rnacentral:rRNA from 1 species